rnacentral:rRNA from 1 species
AUUGAACGCUGGCGGCAGGCCUAACACAUGCAAGUCGAGCGGAUGAAGGGAGCUUGCUCCUGGAUUUAGCGGCGGACGGGUGAGUAAUGCCUAGGAAUCUGCCUGGUAGUGGGGUAUAACGUCCGGAAACGGGCGCUAAUACCGCAUACGUCCUGAGGGAGAAAGUGGGGGAUCUUCGGACCUCACGCUAUCAGAUGAGCCUAGGUCGGAUUAGCUAGUUGGUGGGGUAAAGGCCUACCAAGGCGACGAUCCGUAACUGGUCUGAGAGGAUGAUCAGUCACACUGGAACUGGGACACGGUCCAGACUCCUACGGGAGGCAGCAGUGGGGAAUAUUGGACAGUGGGCGAAAGCCUGAUCCAGCCAUGCCGCGUGUGUGAAGAAGGUCUUCGGAUUGUAAAGCACUUUAAGUUGGGAGGAAGGGCAGUAAGUUAAUACCUUGCUGUUUUGACGUUACCAACAGAAUAAGCACCGGCUAACUUCGUG